AGAUCCGCUAGGUCGCCGGCUCCAAGAUCCAAGAGGCCUCAAACAGAUUUCAAAUCCUCAGGCAGAGUUCUCUGAGACUACAGACGUUCGGAAAGAUUCUGGGGGUCACUGGCAGAUCCUGUCUAUCUUCAGGUCUUCAGAGCUUUAAGUCCUUCUUUGUCCUCUCGCCGUUCCUUUUAUUCCUCAGGCCUGCCUGGGGGCAGGACGACUCUCCAAACCCAGCUUGGCUGCUUGCCUCCUUCUAUGACCAACCCUGGAUGGCCAUGACAUGUAGCAAGUUGUUGCUUUGUGGACACUCAGCUACGAACAUGUCAGCUGGAGUCUAUGGAGUUGGGGGAAGUCCCCCUGCUAAUGGGAAGUUGCCCCUGGCCACUGACCACAGUGAGUUAUCUGUCCAGACACUGCAUCCCAGACAGGGCUCCCCACCCCCUUCUCCAUCCUCUGGAGGACCCAGGGAACAAAGCCACAUUUUCUUGGUCUCCUAAGCUAAGAAGAACCAGGAAGAUGAAGCCUUUGCUGGGAAAAACCAUAUACAAGAAAGAGAACGUGGGGAAUGUGGGAAAAUGGACACAGCUGGCUUUUUCGAAGUGGCGGGAGGGAAGGUGGUAUUAUUUAUGUUUUCCUUGAUUGUUGUUUGCACAAUACAACUAUGAAAAGCAAGAAUAUGCCCUAAUGCAUUUGAAAGCCAAAAUAUUUGUUUAAAAAUCUGUGUUUGAGAUUCUUGGAGGUGGGGAUUUGCUUGAUAUGUGGGGACAGCAGGGCUGGCAAUCCUUUCAUCAGCCUCUUCCUGAGUCUGCCUCCAUUUCCUGAGGUCACAGAGGGGGAUGAAGUGGAGU